UAUUCCCCACUGCUGCCUCCCGUAGGAGUUUGGGCCGUGUCUCAGUCCCAAUGUGGCCGUUCACCCUCUCAGGCCGGCUACUGAUCGUCGCCUUGGUGGGCCGUUACCCCGCCAACAAGCUAAUCAGACGCGGGUCCAUCUCAUACCACCGGAGUUUUUCACACUGUACCAUGCGGUACUGUGCGCUUAUGCGGUAUUAUCAGUCGUCUCCAACUGCUAUCCCCCUGUAUGAGGCAGGUUACCCACGCGUUACUCACCCGUCCGCCACUAAGUGUCCAGUCCGAAGAUCAGACACCCCGUUCGACUUGCAUGUGUUAGGCACGCCGCCAGCGUUCAUCCUGAGCCAA
rnacentral:rRNA from 1 species